AUUGAACGCUGGCGGCAUGCUUUACACAUGCAAGUCGAACGGUAACAGGGUGCUUGCACCGCUGACGAGUGGCGAACGGGUGAGUAAUGCGUCGGAACGUGCCGAGUAGAGGGGGAUAACGCAGCGAAAGUUGUGCUAAUACCGCAUACGUACUGAGGUAGAAAGUGAGGGACCUUCGGGCCUCACGCUAUUCGAGCGGCCGACGUCUGAUUAGCUAGUAGGUGAGGUAAAGGCUCACCUAGGCGACGAUCAGUAGCGGGCCUGAGAGGAUGAUCCGCCACACUGGGACUGAGACACGGCCCAGACUCCUACGGGAGGCAGCAGUGGGGAAUUUUGGACAAUGGGCGAAAGCCUGAUCCAGCCAUGCCGCGUGUCUGAAGAAGGCCUUCGGGUUGUAAAGGACUUUUGUCAGGGAGGAAAUCCCUAGUGCUAAUAACACUGGGGGAUGGCAGUACCUGAAGAAUAAGCACCGGCUAACUACGUGCCAGCCGCCGCCGUAA
rnacentral:rRNA from 1 species